CUCUCGCAACGGCUUCCUGGCGCGGGAGUGGACACAUUAAUGGAGCA
rnacentral:ncRNA from 1 species